AUUGAACGCUGGCGGCAUGCUUUACACAUGCAAGUCGAACGGUAACAGGGAGCUUGCUCCGCUGACGAGUGGCGAACGGGUGAGUAAUAUAUCGGAACGUACCCAAGAGUGGGGGAUAACGUAGCGAAAGUUACGCUAAUACCGCAUACGAUCUAAGGAUGAAAGCAGGGGACCUUCGGGCCUUGUGCUCCUGGAGCGGCCGAUAUCUGAUUAGCUAGUUGGUGAGGUAAAGGCUCACCAAGGCGACGAUCAGUAGCUGGUCUGAGAGGACGACCAGCCACACUGGAACUGAGACACGGUCCAGACUCCUACGGGAGGCAGCAGUGGGGAAUUUUGGACAAUGGGCGCAAGCCUGAUCCAGCAAUGCCGCGUGAGUGAAGAAGGCCUUCGGGUUGUAAAGCUCUUUUGUCAGGGAAGAAACGGGAGUGGCUAAUAUCCAAUCCUAAUGACGGUACCUGAAGAGUAAGCACCGGCUAACUACGUGCCAGCAGCCGCGGUAAAAC
rnacentral:rRNA from 1 species